ACCGACCCAUUUAAUUAUAUGAACCGAAUCCUGGCCUUGGGAUUUCGAUAUCAUUGGUUUGCAACACACUAUCUCCAACAGAGUAAGGCCGAAGCUGUACACAUCACUUUUUGGGCUUAGCCUGUUUGAUGUUGUGUACCUGAGAGAGAAUCCAUGAAGUUCUUGAAAUAUGUCUUUUUCAAUUAUCUUUCCUUCUGAGGAUCAAUUAAAAGACAUCAAAUGGAGAAGCACAAUGGCUUGAGAAAUGUUUGAAAUUAGUACUUACUCCGGGUCAAGAUACUAGAAGAUUACCUGAAAGGUGCUGUGCUAAACUUCCAUUGGGCAUGUACUCAAAAAUUAGGCCAAGGUAGAAUUUGCUGAUAGUCCACAAUCCAAGCUUAUGAAACCUGAGAGAUCAAUUUAUCUUUUUCCAAAUAUGUUUUUAAGAAUGUUGACAGACAGAAUACAAAUAUAUGGCUAACAAAAUUUACCUGAUUGAUCU